GUGACCGAUAGCGUAUAGUACUGUGAAGGAAAGGUGAAAAGGACCCCGGGAGGGGAGUGAAAUAGAACCUGAAACCUUGUGCCUACAAGCACAUAGAGCACAUCAACGUGUGAUAUGGUACUUUUUGUAGAACGGUCCGGCGAGCGAUUGUAUGUUGCGAGCUUAAGGUCUUAAGGACUGGAGGCGUAGCGAGAGCGAGUCUGAACAGGGCGUUCAGUAACAUGCAAUGGGCCCGAAACCGGGUGACCUACCCAUGAUCAGGCUGAAGUGAAAGUAAAAUUUCAUGGAGGGCCGAACCGACCUCCGUUGAAAAGGCGGCGGAUGAAUUGUGGGUAGCGGAGAAAUUCCAAUCGAACUCGGAGAUAGCUGGUUCUCCCCGAAAUAGCUUUAGGGCUAGCCUCAUAUUAGAUACCCGGAGGUAAAGCACUGAAUGGCCUAGCGCCCGAGAGGGUAGCGAAGCCUAUCAAACUAAGAAUGCCGGAGUAUUGAUGUAUGGGAGUCAGACAGUGUGAGAUAAAUCUCAUUGUCAAAAGGGAAACAGCCCAGAUCUACAGCUAAGGUCCCAAAUUGUAUCUAAGUGGAAAACGAUGUGGAAAUACGCAGACAACCAGGAUGUUGGCUCAGAAGCAGCCACUCAUUUAAAGAGUGCGUAAUAGCUCACUGGUCGAGCGUCUCUGCGCGGAAAAUUUAACGGGGCUAAGAUACAAACCGAAGCUUAGGCUGCACGUAAGUGCGGGGUAGGGGAGCGUUGUGUAAGCGGAGAAACAGUAGCGUAAGCGGCUGUGGAGUUUACAGAAGUGAGAAUGCCGGAAUGAGUAGCGCGAAUGUGGUGAGAAUCCACAUGGCCGGAAACCUCAGGUUUUUGGAGGAAGGUUCGUCCGCUCCAAGUUAGGCGGGAGCUAAGGUAAGGCCGAAAGGCGUAGCCGAUGCACAGACGGUAGAGAUUCCGUCCCCACCGAAAGACUUAAGCACAGGGACACUUUCAGAAGGUCGGAGCCAGGUGUUGGUUCUGGUAGUGAUCGAGGGAAAUAUAGUACCGAAGUCCGGCUGGAAGAGAGGCGAGAAAAGCUGUGUGUAUGUUUAAGGUGCCCGUACCGCAAACCGACACAGGUAGGUAGGAAGAAGAUUCUAAGGCCAACGGGAGAAGGGUUGUUAAGGAACUCGGCAAAUUGACCCCGUAACUUCGGGAGAAGGGGUGCUCCAGAGAUGGAGCCGCAGAGAAUCGGCCCAAGCAACUGUUUACCAAAAACACAGGUUUGUGCUAAAUCGAAAGAUGACGUAUACGAGCUGACGCCUGCCCGGUGCUGGAAGGUUAAAAGGAGAUGUGCAAGCAUUGAAUUGAAGCCCCAGUGAACGGCGGCCGUAACUAUAACGGUCCUAAGGUAGCGAAAUUCCUUGUCAGGUAAGUUCUGACCCGCAUGAAAGGCGUAAUGAUUUGGGCACUGUCUCGACAGCCCGCCCGGCGAAAUUGUAGUACCGGUGAAGAUGCCGGUUACCCGCGACAAGACGGAAAGACCCCAUGGAGCUUUACUGUAGCCUGAUAUUGGGUUUCGGUGUUGCAUGCACAGGAUAGAUGGGACGCUGGGAAAGAAGCGCUUUGGCGUUUCUGGAGCGGACGUUGGGAUACCAUCCUUGCGACAUUGGAAUUCUAACCUGCGCCUCUGAAUCGAGGCGGGGGACAUUGUCAGGUGGGCAGUUUGACUGGGGCGGUCGCCUCCUAAAAAGUAGCGGAGGCGUUCAAAGGUUCGUUCGAUCUGGACGGAAACCAGAUGAUUGAGUGCAAACGCAUAAACGAGCCUGACUGCGAGACUGACGGGUCGAGCAGAGACGAAAGUCGGAGUUAGUGAUCCGGUGGUAUGUGAGUGGAAAUGCCAUCGCUCAACGGAUAAAAGUUACCCUGGGGAUAACAGGCUGAUCUCCCCCAAGAGUCCACAUCGACGGGGAGGUUUGGCACCUCGAUGUCGGCUCAU
rnacentral:rRNA from 1 species